CCUUUAGGGUCUGAUAUCCCAGUUUUUACUUUCUAGGGUUUUGAUUUUGGACUCUGAACUCACAUUCCAGCCGCACAGCUCUCCUUUCUCACAGUCUCACACUCUCAUCCCCUCUCUGCUCUCUGGCUCUCUCCUUCUCAUUGCCGCACGGCACGCACCAUGCAAGUCAGCAACAACGUUCCUCCUCCAGUUCACCACCAGACCCACCGCACCAAGUCAUCACUUCACCUGCGUUGCCACCGCUCCGGCGCACUGCUCCACGCCUCCACCAAAUCGAUUCAAGCUCUCAAGAGUUCAAGCCUUCAAGACUCAAGAGUUCAAGCCUUAAAGAGUUCACGCAUUCAAUAAUUUGAUUUCAAUAAGCCUCCACCAAGGAGUUGAUUUCUAGUAAGUUGUGAUUCGCACAGUGGCCACCGUACUUAGGUAUUCCAGAAUAAUAUAGCAGGUUGGUAGAUCGAAAUCAUGUGGCUUGGGAUGAUCGAGAGAGUUGCAUGCUUUCGUAUUUUGAACUAUUUAUUUAUACUUUAAUUAUGUUUGAAAUCGUUGAACUUUUAAUACUCUGGUUUUUGGGCCGUCAUGGUUCCAAAUUGUAGGAGGCCUCGAUAUUUCAUUUAUUACGUUUUCAAAAGUUAGUUGACAUUAA